AGAAGAUCAAAUUUUUUGGUGCAGCUGCAGUAAUGCUAGUGCUUCCAAGCCUGGUCAAGUUUUGAAGUCCAUAAUCCGAAGCUAGUUUAGGUGCUAAGUGGUCUCUACUUUGGUUCUGAAUAUCCAAAAGCCGCUGCUGCUGGUUUUGGGGACUCGUUGCUGCCAGUUGAAGGGAGUGGAAGGAUGAAAGUGGAGAACGCACAAAAUUCCAUGGAAAAAAAAUCAUUCUUAACCUUCCAUUAUGCUCUUCCAACAUACUUCGAAUUAGGCCUUCAGCUUAGCCUUCAAGAAGUGUGAUCUUCUAUGAUGCCUAUUCUCAACAUGUUUCCAUUUUCUAAUAUUGGUGGGGUGAUUGCAUAUUACUUGAUUACCGAGAGAAUCUUGUCCGUGACAAGAACAAGAAAAGAUUUUGAAUACUAUGGCUAUUCCCAUUUUCAGGACCCUUGGAGGGACCUGUGUUUUGUUCUUCUGUCGCUCUUGGUUUUUUGGCACUCGGGAGAGCUGAAUUCGCAGUAAAUCACAGUAUGCUGUUCCAAGAUAUGCAAGAAUAGUUAUGGGUGUUUCUAAUACGGCUGGUACCUUAGCCAGCAUUGUUGGGUUUGAUCUUACUUGUCGACUUCUUGAAGCUGCUAAGUCUUCUCAGUCUCACUGGUCCAAAUAGCUGGAGAGCGGUUUUUCUCAUCUCGGGAUUACUCUAUAUCUUUAGUUCAUUUGUGUUUCUUCUAUUCUGCACGGGGGAGAGAAUUUUUGACUGAGUCGGGUUACGUGUAUCUGAUAACAUCGAUUGUUGUUGAGAAGGAGAUGGCACAUUAAGGCCGCCUGAGGGUUGAGCCAUUAUUCGUGACAACGCCGUAAUACCAAGGAGCCUGCAUUGGGAGAAAUGAAUGAGAUAUGCACAGGAUAAGGAUGGUAUUCUUUGUGCCCAUAUAAACUGGUUGGUGGCUCUGCAGGUGCAGCUUUGCCUUGAUAUUGCAGCCGUUUGAGCCACAUUAUUGUAAAAAUGAAAAUGAGAAAUAUAAUCGUUAUGGACUCCACACAAGAGAUAAAAAAUCAAAUGUGAUGGCUUAAUGUGAU
rnacentral:lncRNA from 1 species